UAAGGAAUAUUGGACAAUGGAGGCAACUCUGAUCCAGCCAUGCCGCGUGAAGGAAUAAGGCCCUAUGGGUUGUAAACUUCUUUUAGACGGGACAAAACCCCUUUACGUGUAAAGGGUUGAUGGUACUGUCAGAAUAAGCAUCGGCUAGCUUCGUGCCAGCAGCCGCGGUAAUACGAAGGAUGCAAGCGUUAUCCGGAAUUAUUGGGUUUAAAGGAUGCGUAGGCGGACUAAUAAGUCAGUGGUGAAAGCCUGCAGCUUAACUUCGGAAUUGCCAUUGAUACUGUUAGUCUUGAGUACAGUGGAGGUAGGCGGAAUGUGUCAUGUAGCGGUGAAAUUCUUAGAUAUGACACAGAACACCGAUUGCGAAGGCAGCUUGCUAAGCUGUAACUGACGCUGAGGCACGAAAGCGUGGGGAGCAAACA
rnacentral:rRNA from 1 species